rnacentral:rRNA from 1 species
GUGGGGAAUCUUAGACAAUGGGCGCAAGCCUGAUCUAGCCAUGCCGCGUGAGCGAUGAAGGCCUUAGGGUUGUAAAGCUCUUUCAGGGGGGAAGAUAAUGACGGUACCCCCAGAAGAAGCCCCGGCUAACUCCGUGCCAGCAGCCGCGGUAAUACGGAGGGGGCUAGCGUUGUUCGGAAUUACUGGGCGUAAAGCGCACGUAGGCGGACCAGAAAGUCAGGGGUGAAAUCCCGGGGCUCAACCCCGGAACUGCCUUUGAUACUGGCUGUCUUGAGUUUGGGAGAGGUGAGUGGAACUCCGAGUGUAGAGGUGAAAUUCGUAGAUAUUCGGAAGAACACCAGUGGCGAAGGCGACUCACUGGCACAAUACUGACGCUGAGGCGCGAAAGCGUGGGGAGCAAACAGGAUUAGAUACCCUGGUAGUCC